UUAUUGUGGUCUGAAUCCGGACAGUAAAAUUUGCGUUUCGUUUCAUCGUCGGUUGUAAAUUUGACAGUAACCAAUCUCCAUUGGCCUCAACAUGUCUUUACCAGCACCUAAACAAAUUUCUCCACUCAUUAGGUUUGGUAGAUGGACAGCUCUAAUUUCUGGUGUUAUAUAUGGGGCCUCAAGAUUACGAUCCCUAACAGCGAAAGAAGUAGACAUUCAGAAACAUGAGAAUGAAAUCCGUGCCCGACGAGAUGCCAGAUUAAAGAGAGAAAGAGAGCGAGAUACAUUAGCUGAGAUGCAGACUUUAGCGAAAGAAGCUGGUAUACCACAGAGUUAGAAAUGAAAAUUAUCUAGUUUUUGUUAAGAUAUAUUUAGACAUUAAAACAAUACAUACAAACCUUGUAUAUUACCAGGGUGAAAUAGACCGUUUAUUAAAAUGACUAUCUAAACUGGA